AGGAAGACGCAGUGAACUGAAACAUCUAAGUAGCUGCAGGAAGAGAAAGCAAAAGCGAUUGCCUUAGUAGCGGCGAGCGAAACGGCAGGAGGGCAAACCGAAGAGUUUACUCUUCGGGGUUGUAGGACUGCAAUGUGGACUUAAAGAAUAUAGAAGAAUGACAUGGGAAGGUCAGCCAAAGAGAGUAAGAGCCUCGUAUUCGAAAUAGUCUUUAUACCUAGCAGUAUCCUGAGUACGGCGAGACACGUGGAAUCUCGUCGGAAUCUGGGAGGACCAUCUCCCAACCCUAAAUACUCUCUAGUGACCGAUAGUGAACCAGUACCGUGAGGGAAAGGUGAAAAGCACCCCGGGAGGGGAGUGAAAUAGAACCUGAAACCGUGUGCCUACAACAAGUUCGAGCCCGUUAAUGGGUGAGAGCGUGCCUUUUGUAGAAUGAACCGGCGAGUUACGAUAUGAUGCGAGGUUAAGUUGAAGAGACGGAGCCGUAGGGAAACCGAGUCUGAAUAGGGCGCAUUAGUAUCAUGUCGUAGACCCGAAACCAUGUGACCUACCCAUGAGCAGGUUGAAGGUGCGGUAAAACGCACUGGAGGACCGAACCAGGGCACGUUGAAAAGUGCUUGGAUGACUUGUGGGUAGCGGAGAAAUUCCAAACGAACUUGGAGAUAGCUGGUUCUCUCCGAAAUAGCUUUAGGGCUAGCGUCGACAUUAAGAUUCUUGGAGGUAGAGCACUGUUUGGGUGAGGGGUCCAUCCCGGAUUACCAAUCUCAGAUAAACUCCGAAUGCCAAUGAAUUAUGGUCGGCAGUCAGACUGCGAGUGCUAAGAUCCGUAGUCGAAAGGGAAACAGCCCAGACCACCAGCUAAGGUCCCAAAAUAUAUGUUAAGUGGAAAAGGAUGUGGGGUUGCACAGACAACUAGGAUGUUAGCUUAGAAGCAGCUAUUCAUUCAAAGAGUGCGUAAUAGCUCACUAGUCGAGUGACCCUGCGCCGAAAAUGUACCGGGGCUAAAACAAUUUACCGAAGCUGUGGAUACCUUUAUAGGUAUGGUAGGAGAGCGUUCUAUGUGUGAUGAAGGUGUACCGUGAGGAGCGCUGGAACGCAUAGAAGUGAGAAUGCCGGUAUGAGUAGCGAAAGACAGGUGAGAAUCCUGUCCACCGUAAGACUAAGGUUUCCAGGGGAAGGCUCGUCCGCCCUGGGUUAGUCGGGACCUAAGGAGAGACCGAAAGGUGUAUCCGAUGGACAACAGGUUGAUAUUCCUGUACUAGAGUAUGUAGUGAUGGAGGGACGCAGUAGGCUAACUAAAGCAGACGAUUGGAAGUGUCUGUCUAAGCAGUGAGGUGUGAAUUGAGUUAAAUGCUUAGUUCUAUAACAUUGAGCUGUGAUGGGGAGCGAAGUUUAGUAGCGAAGUUAGUGAUGUCACACUGCCAAGAAAAGCUUCUAGCGUUAAACAUACUCUACCCGUACCGCAAACCGACACAGGUAGUCGAGGCGAGUAGCCUCAGGUGAGCGAGAGAACUCUCGUUAAGGAACUCGGCAAAAUGACCCCGUAACUUCGGGAGAAGGGGUGCUGGCUUUCAGUCAGCCGCAGUGAAUAGGCCCAAGCAACUGUUUAUCAAAAACACAGCUCUCUGCUAAAUCGUAAGAUGAUGUAUAGGGGGUGACGCCUGCCCGGUGCUGGAAGGUUAAGAGGAGUGCUUAGCGCAAGCGAAGGUAUGAAUUGAAGCCCCAGUAAACGGCGGCCGUAACUAUAACGGUCCUAAGGUAGCGAAAUUCCUUGUCGGGUAAG
rnacentral:rRNA from 1 species